UUAACUGUUCUUUAAAAUAUUCUUGAAAAAUGGCCUCUCACACCUAUUGGUAAGAGUUUUGGCAGUAUGAUCGUGAACUUUGUCUCCUGGUAUCCUACGGGUAUUUACCUGGACAUCGGACUUCAAUCUGAAUUUAGUUUAAAAUAUUAAUGUAUAGUAAUGGAUUAGAGUUCAUGGUCUUCCUUUUGAAUAUUGGAGGCCAUGAAUUCUUUUUAAAUCACAAGAGGUAUUGGUGUCCCUCUUGACAUAGAUGAAGCAACUAGUAG
rnacentral:lncRNA from 1 species